rnacentral:rRNA from 1 species
GAGUUUGAUCCUGGCUCAGGACGAACGCUGGCGGCGUGCUUAACACAUGCAAGUCGAACGGAAAGGCCCUUUCGGGGGUACUCGAGUGGCGAACGGGUGAGUAACACGUGGGUGAUCUGCCCUGCACUCUGGGAUAAGCCUGGGAAACUGGGUCUAAUACUGGAUAGGACCAUGGGAUGCAUGUUCUGUGGUGGAAAGCUUUUGCGGUGUGGGAUGGGCCCGCGGCCUAUCAGCUUGUUGGUGGGGUGAUGGCCUACCAAGGCGACGACGGGUAGCCGGCCUGAGAGGGUGUCCGGCCACACUGGGACUGAGAUACGGCCCAGACUCCUACGGGAGGCAGCAGUGGGGAAUAUUGCACAAUGGGCGCAAGCCUGAUGCAGCGACGCCGCGUGGGGGAUGACGGCCUUCGGGUUGUAAACCUCUUUCAGUAUCGGCGAAGCUUGCGGGUUUUCUCGCAGGUGACGGUAGGUACAGAAGAAGCACCGGCCAACUACGUGCCAGCAG